rnacentral:misc_RNA from 1 species
GAUGAAGAACGUAGCGAAAUGCGAUAAGUAAUGUGAAUUGCAGAAUUCAGUGAAUCAUCGAAUCUUUGAACGCACAUUGCGCCCGCUAGUAUUCUGGCGGGCAUGCCUGUCCGAGCGUCAUUUCAACCAUCAAGCCCCGGGCUUGUGUUGGGGUCCUGCGGCCGUCCGCAGCCCCCGAAAAGCAGUGGCGGGCUCGCUAGUCACUCCGAGCGUAGUAAUACAUCUCGCUCAGGGCGUGCUGCGGGUUCCGGCCGUUAAAAAGCCUUAUUUACCCAAGGUUGACCUCGGAUCAGGUAGGAAGACCCGCUGAACUUAAGCAUAUCAAUAAGCGGAGGA